CGCAUGUAUUGUAUGGGUUCGUCCUCGAAUUGUUCAAUCCAAUUCGCGUAACAUCCUUAGAGAACCGAAAAAAGGGACGUUAUAUGAAAUGGAAAAAAAAAAAUUAUUCCAUAAAAAAUACAUAUUCUACAAAGUAAAAAGAUUCGCCUACUUAAUCAAAUACUAGUUUCUUUGAUCGAUAUACAUAUAUUUUGUGCAAUUAGUAUACUUGUUCCGAUGUAUAUGUAUGUAUAUAAAUAUAUACAUAGAUGAAGAACGCAACUGAAUACACAAGCAUUAAUAUUUACUAUGCUAUGCCUGGAUUGUACAUCCAUGUUUUAGAGGAUGCAAAAGGAAAUUGAAGACGAGAUUGUCGAUUCGCAAGCGGUCGAAGCGAGAAGCACGAUGAGUGUGAAAACUCUGCACGGACGUGGAGGAGCGUCUUAAAAAAAUCUUCGGGGAAAAGUACGGGAAAGGUAGAGUUUCCACGUGGUUUCCCGGGCACUUUCUUCUUUCCUGUCUGUUAGUCUACCGUCUUUACUCUUCCACCACGGAGAAUGGUUUGCUUUUUCCACGUCACGGAAUCGCCGCCGCAGAAAGCGGUGUGCAGACCUUGCAGUUGUUGAAUCUUCUGUGUUUGUACAUUAUCGCAGGAAGAAAGGGGAAUGUGGAUGUAUAAAAUGGAGCAUGAUAUAUAUUUUAUGUAUACUUUCUUAAUUAUAAUAAAAUUAUAAUUAUAAUCUUAAA